GAUGAACGCUAGCUACAGGCUUAACACAUGCAAGUCGAGGGGAAACGACAUCGAAAGCUUGCUUUUGGUGGGCGUCGACCGGCGCACGGGUGAGUAACGCGUAUCCAACCUGCCCACCACUUGGGGAUAACCUUGCGAAAGUAAGACUAAUACCCAAUGAUAUCCCACGAAGGCAUCCGAAUGGGAUUAAAGAUUUAUCGGUAGAUGGAUGGGGAUGCGUCUGAUUAGCUUGUUGGCGGGGUAACGGCCCACCAAGGCAACGAUCAGUAGGGGUUCUGAGAGGAAGGUCCCCCACAUUGGAACUGAG
rnacentral:rRNA from 1 species